CUGUGCAAAGGUAGCAUAAUCAUUAGUUUUUUAAUUGAAAGCUGGAAUGAAUGGUUUAAUAAGAGAAAUUCUGUCUCAAUUUUAAUUUUUGAAUUUUAUUUUUAAGUUAAAAGGCUUAAAUUUUUUAAAAAGACGAGAAGACCCUAUAGAGUUUUAUAAAUGUAAUUUAAUUUUUAUUAAGAUUUAAAUUUAAAAUUAUAUUUUAUUAUUUUGUUGGGGUGAUAUAAAAAUUUAGAAAACUUUUUAUUUAUUAAAUCAUUAAUUUAUGUAUGAUUGAUCUUAAUUUAUGGAUUGAAAGAUUAAUUACCUUAGGGAUAACAGCGUAAUUUUUCUUGAGAGUUCUUAUCGAAAGUAAAGAUUGCGACCUCGAUGUUGGAUUAAAAUAAAAUUUUGGCGUAGAAGUUAAAAAUUUAGGUCUGUUCGACCUUUAAAAUU
rnacentral:rRNA from 1 species